rnacentral:misc_RNA from 1 species
UCUCCGUUGGUGAACCAGCGGAGGGAUCAUUACAGAGUUUUUAACUCCCAAACCCUUUGUGAACUUACCUUAUUGUUGCCUCGGCGAGCCCCUGGGAUUCGUCCCAUGUCCGCCGGCGGCCCCUAUAAACUCUGUUACUUAUAAGCAAUCUGAGCGUUUUCCAAAAAUAAAGUUAAAACUUUCAACACCGGAUAUCUUGGUUCUGGCAUCAAUGAAGAACGCAGC